rnacentral:rRNA from 1 species
CUGCCGAGGAUAACUCGGAGGAAGGUGGGGAUGACGUCAAAUCAUCAUGCCCCUUAUGCUUAGGGCUACACACGUGCUACAAUGGGUGGUACAGAGGGUUGCCAAGCCGCGAGGUGGAGCUAAUCCCUUAAAGCCAUUCUCAGUUCGGAUUGUAGGCUGAAACUCGCCUACAUGAAGCUGGAGUUACUAGUAAUCGCAGAUCAGAAUGCUGCGGUGAAUGCGUUCCCGGGUCUUGUACACACCGCCCGUCACACCAUGGAAGUUGGGGGCGCCCGAAGCCGGUUAGCUAACCUUUUAGGRAGCGGCCGUCGAAGGUGAAACCAAUGACUGGGGUGAAGUCGUAACAAGGUAGCCGUAUCGGAAGGUGCGGCUGGAUCACCUCCUUU